rnacentral:rRNA from 1 species
CUUUCUCCGCCGGCGACCGGCGCACGGGUGAGUAACACGUAUGCAACCUGCCCCUGUCAGGGGGACAACCCGCCGAAAGGCGGGCUAAACCCGCGUACAUGCCACCGGGGCAUCCCGGAGGCAGGAAAGGCUUCGGCCGGACAGGGAUGGGCAUGCGGCGCAUUAGGCAGUAGGCGGGGUAACGGCCCACCUAACCGACGAUGCGUAGGGGUUCUGAGAGGAACGGUCCCCCACACUGGUACUGAGACACGGACCAAACUCCUACGGAAGGCAGCAG